GGCGUGAAGUUUAUUGAUCGUACCAGCAAGAUAAGCCCGGGUAACUUCGUGCAGCAGCCGCGGUAAUACGAUGGGGCUAGCGUGCUCGGAUCACUGGGCGUAAAGGGUGCGUAGGCGGGUUCUUUAAGUCAGGGGAUGAAAUCCUGAGCUCAACUCCAGAACUGCCUUUGAUACUGAGGAUCUUGAGUUCGGGAGAGGUGAGUGGAACUGCGAGUGUAGAGGUGAAAUUCGUAGAUAUUCGCAAGAACACCAGUGCGAAGGCGGCUCACUGGCCCGAUACUGACGCUGAGGCACGAAAGCGUGGGGAGCAAACAGGAUUAGAUACCUGGUAGUCCACGCCGUAAACGAUGAAUGCCAGCCGUUAGUGGGAUUACUCACUAGUGGCGCAGCUAACGCUUUAAGCAUUCCGCCUGGGGAGUACGGUCGCAAGAUUAAAACUCAAAGGAAUUGACGGGGGCCCGCACAAGCGGUGGAGCAUGUGGUUUAAUUCGACGCAACGCGCAGAACCUUACCAGCCCUUGACAUCCCGGUCGCGGACUCCAGAGACGGAGUUCUUCAGUUCGGCUGGACCGGAGACAGGUGCUGCAUGGCUGUCGUCAGCUCGUGUCGUGAGAUGUUGGGUUAAGUCCCGCAACGAGCGCAACCCCCGUCCUUAGUUGCUACCAUUUAGUUGAGCACUCUAAGGAGACUGCCGGUGAUAAGCCGCGAGGAAGGUGGGGAUGACGUCAAGUCCUCAUGGCCCUUACGGGCUGGGCUACACACGUGCUACAAUGGCGGUGACAAUGGGACGCUAAGGGGCAACCCUUCGCAAAUCUCAAAAAGCCGUCUCAGCUCGGAUUGGGCUCUGCAACUCGAGCCCAUGAAGUUGGAAUCGCUAGUAAUCGUGGAUCAGCACGCCACGGUGAAUACGUUCCCGGGCCUUGUACACACCGCCCGUCACACCAUGGGAGUUGGUUUUACCUGAAGACGGUGCGCUAACCGCAAGGAGGCAGCCGGCCACGGUAGGGUCAGCGACUGGGGUGAAGUCGUAACAAGGUAGCCGUA
rnacentral:rRNA from 1 species